GGGUGGGGCAGUAGCUAGGGAGGACAGUGUGGUUCUAACUUAUCAUCUUAAUUCAGAAGCUCCCAGGUUUUUUGUUUUUUUUUUUUCUUCUAAAGUUUACUUUCCUCCAUAAUUUGUUGUUGAGUUUUGUUAUUUUUUUUUUUAAGGUUUAUUGGGAAAAUUUGUGUCUAAACCUGUAUCUUUAACCUCAAGUAAGCACCUGCGUGUGUCAGGAACACAGUUUUUGCCUAUCGAAAGCCAUUUCUCCCUGCUUUCUCUUACUUCUCCUCUGCUAAUAAAACUCCAAUCUGAAACAGGUGAAGACCCUCGAUCUGUGGGAAGGCUGGUCCCAGGAGAAGGACCAUGACUGGCCUAAGCUAGCCAUUGUCAGCCCACUCCUCUUUGCCAGUGACUAUGGGCAUGAGACCUGGUCCUGGCCCGUGGACUUGUAUGUCAUCAUCCCUGCUCGAUAACUCACCCUACACCACCGUGGCGGAGUUUUAUGGUUCUCUGAUGUACGUGAAGGUCAAGGGAAGCUUUGCGAGCUGCGGCACAACAUGAAUUACAGAGCCCCUGAAGUAACGGUGGGGUCAGAAAGGGCCGUGGAACACACGCUCGGAGGCUGCAUCCGCAGGCCUGUAACUGCUGAUUCAUCUCUCCUGUGUGCAGCGAGAAGUCUCCCCCUCUGCCUGCUCAUUAGUCCCGAGGCCAAGCCUUUUCCGUAUUCAUCACGGAGCUGCACCCAUCAGGCUGUGGAACUCGGAGCCUCCCUGAGCUGUGACUCACGGCCCGUGAGAAUUACUCCACAGACAGGAGGGACUGAGAGGAUGGGAGUGAUCUUUACCUCCCAGGCAAGCGGAUGCAGUGAUCCAGAAACCUGGGCACGGGGCAGGAAGCCAGCCCACAUGGUUAGCUUCCCUGUUGGUUGUGCAGCCUGGUGAAGUCCCUGAGGUUUACGGUCUUGGGGGAGAGGAGACAGGGACAUCAGCUGGCAGGCCAUCAGUGCACGGAUGGGAGGCGGCCGGGAUGCUGUGGGGCUUAGGGCUGG
ensembl:lncRNA